GUGAUGAUUCAGGUGGUUAGUCAGGUGAUGAUUCAGGUGGUUAGUCAGGUGAUGAUUCAGGUGGUUAGUCAGGUGAUGAUUCAGGUGGUUAGUCAGGUGAUGAUUCAGGUGGUUAGUCAGGUGAUGAUUCAGGUGGUUAGUCAGGUGAUGAUUCAGGUGGUUAGUCAGGUGAUGAUUCAGGUGGUUAGUCAGGUGGU